rnacentral:lncRNA from 1 species
GUUAGAAUAACUUCCUCUCCCGGAGACCUCGUUUUUGCACAAGCCGGCCUUGAAAUCAGAGCCUUUCGAGCAACUCCGAGAGCGUGUGCUCGGCGACCGCGGGCUUGGCCAGCGGCGCGCGCUCGGCGCCCGGCGCCCCCAGCCCCACGCGCGCCGGGCGGGCGCCAUGGAGGAGGGCUCCAGCUCGCCCGUGUCCCCCGUGGACAGCCUGGGCACCAGCGAGGAGGAACUCGAGCGGCAGCCCAAGCGCUUCGGCCGGAAGCGGCGCUACAGCAAGAAGUCGAGCGAAGAUGGCAGCCCGACCCCCGGCAAGCGCGGCAAGAAGGGCAGCCCAAGCGCGCAGUCCUUCGAGGAGCUGCAGAGCCAGCGCAUCCUGGCCAACGUGCGCGAGCGCCAGCGCACCCAGUCGCUCAACGAGGCCUUCGCCGCGCUACGCAAGAUCAUCCCCACGCUGCCCUCGGACAAGCUCAGCAAGAUCCAGACGCUCAAGCUGGCCGCCAGGUACAUAGACUUCCUCUACCAGGUCCUGCAGAGCGACGAGAUGGACAAUAAGAUGACCAGCUGCAGCUACGUGGCCCACGAGCGUCUCAGCUACGCCUUCUCCGUGUGGCGCAUGGAGGGCGCGUGGUCCAUGUCCGCCUCCCACUAGCGCCUCGCCACCCACGUCCGGACCGGCGCGUCAGGGCUGUCCCGCGGGGCUGAGCGCAAGUGGAACUGGGGCACAUCGGCAUCCGCGUCUGUAACUUCUGAAACCCAGAGGGCCUCCAGGACACCGCCCGUCCCAUGCUCCAGGAAGCGUUAGACAAGGGGACAGCGGCAGAGCCCGGACCUCGGCCCCCCACCCCUCAGAGACGCCCCCAGAGGCAGCGGCGCGCACUCGCGGUCCUUCUUGCCGGUGACAUGUCUUUUGCCAUCGUCUCCACUGCUGGGGUGUGUCCACAGCCCCAGGCCUGGGUCUUAUUUUUUUUAUUCUUUCCGGGGGAGGGGAUUUAUUCUUUCUGAAAAUCGGUACAUUCAGGAACACAUUUACGAGGGUUUGGAUUUGGGAUUUGUAUUUUCCUCUAAGUGCCUUCUUAAUGUAUAGUUUUCAAAAUAAAACAGAAAUGCAUUCCUGUUCCGUUCUGUUUAAACUGGACCAAGGCUCUUGGACAAAGAACCUCGUAUUCCCUUCCCGCCCUCCAGCCUCUGCAUGGUCGUUUCUAGUAAGCCUGGAGCCCUUCGCACAGCUCUGCUCUUUUUCUUUCUCCGUGAUUUGCUCAGCUAACCCCCCCUUUUUUUUAAAAAAAAAUUUUCCCAUUUCAGUGUAUAUGUUGCUUAUUUGUCUUAUUUAUUGAGAUGUUUUUAACAAGCUCAGUGACUGCAGUGCGGCUGUGUGUCCUGCUCCCCGCCCAGGAACAAUAAAGACGUCCCUGC